rnacentral:lncRNA from 1 species
UGAGGAGACUGAGGAGGAAGGCAAGGAGAAGAAGGAAGAGGAGCAAGAGGUAAAGGAGAAGAAAAGAAAAAAGAGAGAUAAGAUUAUUAAAAAUCAAACUAAAUACAUAUUGAAAAAACAACUGAAAAACAAACCAAAAGUAGCAACACUCUAACAGAGCAAUAGUAUAAACAAAUUUAUUCAAAGCAUUAAUUUUAUAUUAGUCUAUAUCAGGCUUUCUAACCUGUACAUUAUAUAAAAUUAGGAUUAUUUUCUCUCUUCUUUCCA